rnacentral:rRNA from 2 species
CAGCCGCCGCGGUAAAACCAGCACCUCAAGUGGUCAGGGUGAUUAUUGGGCCUAAAGCAUCCGUAGCCGGCUCUGUAAGUUUUCGGUUAAAUCUGUACGCUUAACGUACAGGCUGCCGGGAAUACUGCAAAGCUAGGGAGUGGGAGAAGUAGACGGUACUCGGUAGGAAGUGGUAAAAUGCUUUGAUCUAUCGAUGACCACCUGUGGCGAAGGCGGUCUACUAGAACACGUCCGACGGUGAGGGAUGAAAGCUGGGGGAGCAAACCGGAUUAGAUACCCGGGUAGUCCCAGCUGUAAACUAUGCAAACUCAGUGAUGCAUUGGCUUGUGGCCAAUGCAGUGCUGCAGGGAAGCCGUUAAGUUUGCCGCCUGGGAAGUACGUACGCAAGUAUGAAACUUAAAGGAAUUGGCGGGGGAGCAC